rnacentral:lncRNA from 1 species
AAAAUAGCAUCACCUAUAGCAGCUAUACAAAUGGACUUAGCAGUUAGCACCACCACAAUUAGGCUGAGUCUAGCAUGGGUAAGGGGGAUAGGUCUCCCACCAUGGGAAAGGACUUUUUAACCAUAUGAUUUAUUAAUAAAAUAAUUAAUGGACAGGAUGGAUUACUGGCAACCUGAGGGUGCAGUGUUCCUCAGGUAAAAUUUAAUUUAUAUUAAGGCCCACUUGUUUUUGAGAAAUUAUAAUUUGUCCAUGACCAUUAUAACCCUUAUAUUUUCUAUUAUUCUACAUUCAUCCCAAUUAUCUUUAAAAUAAAACAGAAAACACAGAACACAUAUUUGGGUGUUGUAUCGUUUCCACCAUCCCUAAUUUUAAAUCAACCACCUUGAGAGGUGAUGAAGAUUAAUCUUUUUAGCAUAUGUUUUCUCAACACCUCUUCUAUGCAAAAAAAAAAAAAACCUUCUAUGUCUUUGUUGCGGUAUCGACAGUUUCGAAGAAGACGGAGGAGGGGUCGGUUGUUUCGAUGCAAACGACGGUUGCAAGAGUGAGAUUUAAACGCAUAUGAGUCAAUUGGGAGACUACAAGGUAAACUUGAUACUGAUUUUUAAUUGCUAUUUGUGAACCAGAACGAUUUCAGUGGUUGUUGCUUGAAAUUGUAAAACAAAACGAUUUUUUUAUUUGAAAUGCGUCUUAAAAAUGGUAAUUAUUGCUUGUUGUCAAUGGAUGCAAGUGAUUUUGUGUUGAAGAGAGAAAAUAUAUGACGCCCUAAAAUAAGUUGAACAGAAAACCAAUAUGAUAUCAUUAUAUGAAAUUGGUAAAAAUCCAAAGCAAAAUUGUGAAUUUGGAGAGGUUUAUAAUCCAAUGGGAACUUUGGAAGCUUCUGCAACCAAUCAGAACUCCAUCACAGUGCGGAGGUUUCUGUUGGUGGCCAACUCGAGGAUUCGUACUUUUCGACUCGGCACAAACAUGGAUACUGGUGAAACUGUUGAAUAAGUAGUGGAGCAUAUAGUUGGUGUUCAUAGCUGUAGAUUUAGUCAAGUUUACUGUUUUUAUUUUGCUGAGUCACUAGUCCUAAUUGUUAGGAGAUGGUAGCUGUUGUUUUUCACCGGUUAAUGAGUUCCUUUAUUUUAGCCACUUCCACAUUGCUAGGCUUGUAAAAUGUGGUUGCAGUUUGUUGGUGUAUUUGGUUCGAGGUAAAUGGAGGGAGGGGAGGUAAGGGAUGAUUUUUAAUUUUUUAUGUUUGGUUCAAUUUUUAGGAGGGGAUGAGAGAGAAGGUGAGUAAAAUUCCUCCUAGAUCCAUUUUUUGCUCCCCCAAAUUAGAAGGAUUUGGGGGAGGAGAGGUAAGCUAUUUAAUACUCAAGCAUAUUAAGAAAAAUUUGUAGUGUAAUAAAUGUGUUUUUUUUUUGUGUUAUAAUUAUUAAAUUGUCCUCGGUGAAAAGAUGUAUUUGUAAUUGAUUUUUCGGAUUUCAAUGUAAAGUAUGAUUAUAUUUGGAAAAGUAAUAAUAAAUAUG